rnacentral:rRNA from 1 species
CGAGUUUGAUCAUGGCUCAGAUUGAACGCUGGCGGUAGGCUUAACACAUGCAAGUCGAGCGGUAACAGACAUUUUGAUUUUGCUUGCAAAAUCUCGUGCUGACGAGCGGCGGACGGGUGAGUAACGCGUAGGAAUCUACCUAGUAGAAGGGGAUAGCCCGAGGAAACUCGGAUUAAUACCGUAUACGUCCUUAGGGAGAAAGAGGGCUGAGCUUGAUGCUCUCGCUAUUAGAUGAGCCUGCGUAAGAUUAGCUUGUUGGUGAGGUAAAGGCUCACCAAGGCUACGAUCUUUAGCUGGUCUGAGAGGACGAUCAGCCACAUUGGGACUGAGACACGGCCCAGACUCCUACGGGAGGCAGCAGUGGGGAAUAUUGGACAAUGGGCGCAAGCCUGAUCCAGCCAUACCGCGUGUGUGAAGAAGGCUUUCGGGUUGUAAAGCACUUUAAGUGAGGAAGAAAAGAUACCAGUUAAUACCUGUUAUCCGUGACAUUACUCACAGAAUAAGGACCGGCUAAUUCCGUGCCAGCAGCCGCGGUAAUACGGAAGGUCCAAGCGUUAAUCGGAAUUACUGGGCGUAAAGCGCGCGUAGGUGGUUUAUCAAGUUGGUUGUGAAAGCCCCGGGCUUAACCUGGGAACUGCAGCCAAAACUGAUUCACUAGAGUACGAAAGAGGAAAGUAGAAUUCACAGUGUAGCGGUGGAAUGCGUAGAUAUUGUGAAGAAUACCAAUUGCGAAGGCAGCUUUCUGGUUCUGUACUGACACUAAGGUGCGAAAGCGUGGGGAGCGAACAG